rnacentral:rRNA from 1 species
UGGGGAAUAUUGCACAAUGGGCGAAAGCCUGAUGCAGCAAUGCCGCGUGUGUGAAGAAGGCCUGCGGGUUGUAAAGCACUUUCGGUAGGGAAGAUUAUGACGGUACCUACAGAAGAAGCACCGGCUAACUCCGUGCCAGCAGCCGCGGUAAUACGGAGGGUGCAAGCGUUAAUCGGAAUUACUGGGCGUAAAGCGCGCGUAGGCGGCUUUGUAAGUCGGAUGUGAAAGCCCCGGGCUUAACCUGGGAAUUGCAUUCGAUACUGCAUGGCUAGAGUAUGGUAGAGGGUAGCGGAAUUCCGGGUGUAGCGGUGAAAUGCGUAGAUAUCCGGAGGAACACCAGUGGCGAAGGCGGCUACCUGGACCAAUACUGACGCUGAGGUGCGAAAGCGUGGGGAGCAAACAGG